ACUGCCUUCCCUUAGAAACUAAGCGUGGGUGUGGCCUGGAAAAGAAACACGGCGACCCAUCCUUAGUUUCUGAGGUCACGCGGG
rnacentral:pre_miRNA from 11 species